rnacentral:misc_RNA from 1 species
GAUGAAGAACGCAGCGAAAUGCGAUAACUAAUGUGAAUUGCAGAAUUCCGUGAAUCAUCGAGUCUUUGAACGCACAUUGCGCCCCCUGGUAUUCCGGGGGGCAUGCCUGUCCGAGCGUCAUUGCUGCCCAUCAAGCACGGCUUGUGUGUUGGGUCCCGUCCCCCUCUCCCGGGGGAUGGACCCGAAAGGCAGCGGCGGCACCGCGUCCGGUCCUCGAGCGUAUGGGGCUUUGUCACCCGCUCUUGUAGGCCCGGCCGGCGCUUGCCGACACCCAACCAUUUUUUUCAGGUUGACCUCGGAUCAGGUAGGGAUACCCGCUGAACUUAAGCAUAUCAAUAAGCGGAGGA